rnacentral:lncRNA from 1 species
UCUGAACUCACUCACAAGAACACCACUGCUUCAACUUCAAACCCCGAAAUCGAAUCAAACUUUCCCACCAUCACUCACUCCGAAACACACCUCAACCACUUCACAGCACCACCCAUUCAAGGUUUCCUACCUCGUAAGCACUUGUGGCUUCUCCGUAGAAACCGCUCUCAAGAUCUCCAAGUUCACCCAAUUCAAAACCCCCGAAAAACCCGAUUCAAUCAUCGCCUUAUUCAGAAGCCACAGUUUCUCCAACACCCAGAUAAUCAGCAUUAUUAGAAGAGCACCCAAUGUUCUCACAUGCGACCCCCACAAAAGGAUUUUCCCAAAGUUUGAAUUUUUACGCUCCAAAGGGGCCUCAGGCUCCGACAUUGUGGAACUGGUGACUAAGAGCCCCACAAUCCUGUAUGCGAACCUCGAGAAUAAUAUUGUUCCUUCCUAUGAGUUGGUGCGGAGGUUCCUUGAAUCCGAUAAGAAAACGAUGGAUUGCAUUCGUGGUUGCGGAUAUUUCUUUGGUUCCGGUCGUGCGUCGCGGAAUGUGAUGUUGUUGAUUGAUGAGGGAGCCACGGACUCCGUCAUCGCCUUUUUGUUACAGAAAAGGUUUUCUGUGAUCUUGUGUUCUGGUUUUAAGGAGACUUUGGAUGAAAUUAAGGAAAUGGGGUUUGAGCCUUUCAAGAAGAAGUUCGGGCUGGCGCUGCUUGCGAAAAAGAUUGUUCCGAAAUCGCACUGGGAAGCUAAAGUUGAUGUCUUUAAGAGCUGGGGUUGGUCUGAAGAAUUGGUUAUUGGUAUGUUCAAGAGGCAGCCCCUCUUUAUGUUAGCGUCCCAAGAUAAGAUUGAUCGGGUAAUGAGAUUUUGGGUUAAGCAGUUAGGUUGGGAUUCUUUGGCCCUUGCCAAAAAGCCAGAGAUUUUUGGAUUUAGUUUGGAGAGAAGGAUCAUUCCAAGGGCUCUUGUUGUCCAGUAUUUAGUCGCUAAAGGCUUGAGGAAAAAGAGUGCCAGCAUGAUUGUCCCAUUUGCUGUUUCUGAUAAGGAGUUUCUUGAAAAGUAUGUGAUGCGAUUUAAGGAGGAAGAAGCGGAACUAUUAAAGCUGUACCAGGGAAAAAUGAGUGGUCAUGGAAAUAAGGAGGAUGGUGCAGCUCCUUUAACCGUAGUGUAAUUUAAAAAAUAUCUAGGUCCAUAUUUAAUUUAUUCCAUGUUAGUGGAAAUAAUGUCAAGUGAAGGCUAAGUUUGAGUGAUUGAUAUGUUUUUCAGACGUUUAGCUGGGAAAUAUAUCAUAUAACAGCUUUCGGAUACAGCAUUAUAGGCUAGAGCUUUUUACUUUUGUUGUUUGUAUGGUCAUGGUCACUUGAGAUGGAUAAUUGUGGCUGAGAGGAUACUAAGGAUUUCCUGCUUCAGUUUUGCAGUUCCUUUAUAUAAGGUUUGAUCUAGAAAAUGGUGCUUUGAAGUAAGCUUCUGACCUUUGGGGGAGAAGCUUCAAUUAUGAUUCAAUUGAAGUUAUGCCCUUAUUUGCAGCAUAGUGGUCAACUGGUCAUGUCAAUAUGUUAGGGUAGAUGUAAGACAAGUUCUUUGGUUGGAGAAACUUGAAAAUAUGUGAAUGUCCAAAUGUUGCAAUAUGAUGAAAUCAUAUCAAGCUGCAAGAACUUGUUAAUAUUUAACUUUAUGUGAUUAGUUUUUUUCUUUCUUCAUGGAUUGUAUUGGUUUAGUUUAUUUAUAAAAUAUAAGCUUUUAGAUGUAGGUGGCUGUAAACUGAAUUGUAUUCAGGUUGAAAAAUAUUCCCAAGUUAGGUUUUAUUCUAGCUUGCUUUUCAGAAUUCUGUAAUGUAUUUAAAUAGUUGAAACUGGUAAUGCAUUCUUUCGUUUACUGCAGAAGUGCUGGCUUGGGGUGAGCCUAGUUGCAAUGCCAAUGCCAAGGUUCUGCUUCAUGACUUGGUGUUCAAAUGUUCAAGUCAUUGAAACCAUGGUUGUUAAACUCAUGAUUCUACGUAGAAUUGUGGAGGCUCUGUAAACUCGACUCGUAGAAUCGAAUCGUAAACUCAUAAGAGUUUACUCAAAUAAAAAAAUAUUAAUAUUCCUUUCAAAUUUGUAUCAUAUUUUUAUUUUCUCUUAUUCUUUCUUUAAUGUUCUUUUGGGGAAAGGUGGGUUGGUUAAAAAUUCAUGCAGAAUUGUUGAAAAUUAGAAUCAAGUUAUUGAUUUGAUGCACUUCAAUUUCUUAAGAACUUUACAUCUCAAGAUUUGUGAAGUUUGUUGAGACAAAAGUUGUUGCUUAUGGCAGGUUGUUCCAAGAAUUAACACCUUUAUCGACACACAUGUCUCUCCAACAACCAAAUCAAGAGGUGUUAUUGCAAGAACCAGAAGCCACAUUUUCUCAACUAAGCAAACAAAACUUAAUACUCUCACUCACCCUUGAUGAGUUCUAUUGCAAGAAUUGAAAGAGCUUACGAUCUAUGAACAUGGAUGAAUUCCUUUCUAGCAUUUGGAACUCUGAUGAUAACAACUAAGUUAACCCACCACUAUCCACCCUUGAUGAAGCUGCAAAGGGUAAAAGUGUACUAGCAACAAAACCCAUUGCUCAAAAGGCAGCAACAAAACUCACUACCCACCCUUGAUGAAGCCAGAAUUUCAAUUAACAAAUAAUUUGACCAUGUUCGGGGGACUACCUUAGCGUUGCCAAAAUUCAACACUAAGCAUUGUUUCAAACUUUAAAUUAACAGAGAUUUUAAUUAACAAAUACUCCUUUAAUUUAGCAACAAAACCCAAAACUCAACAUUACAAUGAAGCUAAUAAUAGCAUUGCCAGAAUUUCAAUUAACAAAUACUCCCUUAAUAAGCAUCGUUUCAAACUUUCAAUUGAUAGAAAUGAAUUAACAAAGAAGCUUUGAGAAAGAAAACACCUUAGCAUCAUGGAGCAAAGCUUGGAGCUAGGUCAUGAAAUGAAGGCUUUCGAUGAGUGAGGGCUUUCAAGUUUCAAACGAUGACGAGGACCACCACGACGCGAGUAGCUCAGCAGUCCAGCACGGCAACGAUGACGAUGACCACAACGAUGCAAGUAACUCAGCGGGAGUCAUUUUCGGGGGUGAGUAGCUUGAACAAGGCAGAGUGAGUGAGUAGACAGAGUUGCGAGAGUCAUUUUCGAGAGUUGUUGUACGACGCCGUUUCGGGUUUUCAUAAACUCGUGGACUCAGAGCAGACUCGUGAGUUUGCACAAAAUUGGACGAGUUUAACAACCAUGAUUGAAACUGCCCCUUUGAUCGGGUUCAUGUAUUUGACUCUCUCCAAACUCCCACAAUAGUGAGAGCCUUCUGCAAUGGGCCAUUCUUUACAAUAGAGGUUCAAGCAUUACAGUAGGAACCAACCAGGGAUAGCUAGUGGGAAAUUGAACCCUCAAUGCAUCAUACUCUUGUCUUAGAAAUUGAGAGAUGAGACUGAUAGGAAUUAGGAUUGUGGUUCUAGUGCAGAUGCAGAAAAGGGUGUGAAGGACCAUAAAAUGGAUCAACACAAAAAAGAAGAUUUAAGGUUUAUUCUAGAAAGAAUAAAAGAGAACUUGGAUUUAAUUAACUGAGGUGGCCGGUGGUUAGCAUUUUAGGCAAAUACUUCGCUUGAUGCAACAGUAUAUAGGAUGCAUGGCAGACUGGGAGAGGAUAUUUUAUCUGAAGAGAUAGGGUCUAUUCUUGGUUACCAUUAAAGACCAUGCUAGUUGAGUUACUAGCUUUGUUGGCUAUUUAGUGCAUUUAUUAGCAUAUCUAUGCUUUUACUAGUAUUAGAAUGGCUAUGCUUUUACUAGUACUAGUGUUGGUUGUUCAUGCGUUUACGAGGUCCCCCCACUUGAUGUAGUCGUCCGAGGAUAAAAUUAAUAAGGUGAUGAGAUUUUGGGUUGAUCAGUUAAGUUGGGACUCUUUGGCCCUUACUAAGAGGCCAAUGUUUUUUGGAUAUAGUUUGAAGAAAAGGAUCGUUCCAAGGACUUUUGUUGUCUAGUAUUUACUUACAAAAGGCUUCCAGAAAAAGAGUGCCACCUUGCUUAGCCAGUUUUGUAUUCCUGAAGAGGCGUUUCUUGAAAAGUAUGUGAAAUGUUUUAAGGAGGAAGAAGCAGAACUAUUAAAGCUGUACCGGGAAAAAUGAGUAAUCCAUGUUUUAAAUACCUUUCUGUUUCUGUCACAGUCAUCCUUUUAUUUGAAUAAAAUCACUCUAAGCCAGAUUCUAUUCUUGGUCCUAUUAGAGAUCAAUGUCAGUUGAGCUACAAAAGCUUAUUGGCAAGUUAGUCCAUGUACUAGUCAGUAUGCUACUUCAGUUUUGGAACUGAAAUCACAGGUUUUGGUUCUUGAAAGUGUAUUGUUCAUAAACAUCUUAAAAUUGCACGAAAGCGUGCACGAGCUUGUACCUGGAUGCUGUAAUCGAACAAGAUGUAAAUAAGUUGAAUUGAAUCUUUGUACACUAUAAGAUAAGGAGGUCUGAUAUGCUAAUUCGAGCUAAUGAAGCAGAGUUUCAACGUGUUGUUGGGUAAGUGGCUUGGAAAAGUAAACAACAUAUGCAAAGGUUGAGCAUAACCCGAAUGGAAGGAUUUUAUUGUAUCAGGUUCUGGUGGCAAAGAGCUUUGUAGGAGGUUACACAAUCUUUUUAUGCAGCUAAUGCAAAUGGAAGGAAUCUCUGUAGGGGGCUGCUAAUGUUUAUAACAGUCUGGUACUGGUGACACAAAAACAUAUCCUGGGUUGGAAAGGUUGUUGAUCAGUUGAUGUAUUUUUAUAAUUUAUUUUAUUACCUAUCUACAUUUUAUCUGGUUUUGUAAUUUGUCCACUUCUCGUGACAAAAUACAGCUAUAUAUAUAUAUGCAGAGUUAUCUUUUCAUAUCCAUUUUUUGAAUAGCAAAAAAAAAAAGAUAGAAAAGUCGAAUUGAACAAUUUUUUUUCAUUUUGUAUUUAUUUAACAAUUUAUCAAAAUUCCUCAAAAUAUACAAAUCCAAAUCUAGCAAAAUGUAAAAAGUUCAAGCAAAAUAGAAUAGAUAUAAUGUCAAAUUAUUUCAUUAAAAUAUAUCAAAACUUAAAUUUCAAAUCCAAAUUAAUUAUUGGUUUUACAUAAAUAUUCAAAUCCAAUGUCCAAACAAUAAAUUUAAAAAGAAAUAAGGUGUAAUAUCAAUAAAUUUUUUAUAUACAAUAUAUUACCAGUAAUCUUUUCUAAAUAGAAGAUGAUUUAAAAAUUCAUAAAUUCUUUUAAUUUAAAUAUAAUGACUUAAAUUGUAAAAAUUAAACCUAUAUUUGUGUAUAUAUUAAAUUCGUUUUAUUUCUUAUCCUAUUUACCAAAUCAUUUUAAUCCAAAUAUUUCAUUUAUUUUUUAUUUUUUUCUCUUCAAUAAUAACCUUAUUUUUCUAUUUUUUUUUACUUUCUUUCAUCAAUCAUUAUGCACAUUUUUAUUCUUUUUUAUAUCUCUACCAAACAAAAUCUUAGCAUAAGAGAGAAAAAUAAGAAAAAUAAAUUGUAGAAGAGAAAAAAAAAAAAGUUGACAAUAAUUUAAAAAAUUGUUAACACCCAAAAUUGUCAUUACACCAAGGGAGACCUACCCUCCUUUCCGUCCAAACCCUAAAACACAUCCCCUUUCAUGGUCACUUCGGGUUAAUAUCCCACUCCCAUCAGCAAGGCAAGCUUCGAUGCUCCCUUCACCAAGUUGCCUUAAUACUCUGAAAUCAUAGAACACUUCCUUAAACACCUUUCAGAUGAUGUUUCCUUCCCCACGCUUCAAACCCUUUCUCUAUCUGAACUCACUCACAAGAACACCACUGCUUCAACUUCAAACCCCGAAAUCGAAUCAAACUUUCCCACCAUCACUCACUCCGAAACACACCUCAACCACUUCACAGCACCACCCAUUCAAGGUUUCCUACCUCGUAAGCACUUGUGGCUUCUCCGUAGAAACCGCUCUCAAGAUCUCCAAGUUCACCCAAUUCAAAACCCCCGAAAAACCCGAUUCAAUCAUCGCCUUA